ACUAGACCUACUAAUGGAGCAAGUAAGACUGACUCUUUCCAGUUGCACUUAUUCAAUUGACUCGUUCUUGUACGGUUCCUGCUGUUUCGGGUCUUUUGAAGGGGAAAAGGGAAGAAUGGUCCUAUAUUGGGAUUUUAAGGAGACACUGCACUAGUGCCAUUUCACUUCCUGACUUAACCUGAAAGGGUAAUAGCAUCGGGGA
rnacentral:lncRNA from 1 species